rnacentral:rRNA from 1 species
UACGGAGGGAGCGAGCGUUAAUCGGAAUUACUGGGCGUGAAGCGUCCGUAGGCGGCUUGUUGAGUCUGAUGUGAAAGCCCUGGGCUUAACCUGGGAACGGCAUUGGAUACUGGCGAGCUAGAGUUCGGUAGAGGGUGGUGGAAUUCCCGGUGUAGCGGUGAAAUGCGUAGAGAUCGGGAGGAACGCCGGUGGCGAAGGCGGCCACCUGGACCGAGACUGACGCUGAGGGACGAAAGCGUGGGGAGCAAUCAGG